AUUGAACGCUGGCGGCAGGCCUAACACAUGCAAGUCGAGCGAGCGGCGGACGGGUGAGUAAUGUCUGGGAAACUGCCUGAUGGAGGGGGAUAACUACUGGAAACGGUAGCUAAUACCGCAUACCAUCAGAUGUGCCCAGAUGGGAUUAGCUAGGAGGGGGGGUAAUGGCUCACCUAGGCGACGAUCCCUAGCUGGUCUGAGAGGAUGACCAGCCAAAAUGGAAUUGAGACACGGUCCAGAACCCUAAGGGGGGGAGGCAGGGGGAAAAUUUCACAAAGGGGGGAAGCCUGGUGCAGCCCUGCCGGGGGGUGUGAAGAGGCCUUUGGGGUGGAAAGCACUUUCAGCGGGGAGGCGUUACCCGCAGAAGAAGCACCGGCUAACUCCGUGCCAGCCGCCGCGGUAAUUC
rnacentral:rRNA from 1 species